AUAGGGCAGUUCCUUAAAGUGAUCGGCGGAGUUAGGGCAUACUCUAAGCGUAGUAAUAUUCUUCUCGCUUCUGUAGUUGUCCUGGCGGCUUGCCGUUAAACCCCUAUAUUUCUAGUGGUUGACCUCGGAUUAGGUAGGAAUACCCGCUGAACUUAAGCAUAUCAAUAAGCGGAGGAAAAGAAACCAACAGGGAUUGCCCUAGUAACGGCGAGUGAAGCGGCAACAGCUCAAAUUUGAAAUCUGGCCCUAGCGGUCCGAGUUGUAAUUUGUAGAGGAUGCUUUUGGUUAGGUGCCUUCUGAGUUCCCUGGAACGGGACGCCAGAGAGGGUGAGAGCCCCGUACGGUUGGACACCGAGCCUCUAUAUAGCUCCUUCGACGAGUCGAGUAGUUUGGGAAUGCUGCUCUAAAUGGGAGGUAAAUUUCUUCUAAAGCUAAAUACCGGCCAGAGACCGAUAGCGCACAAGUAGAGUGAUCGAAAGAUGAAAAGUACUUUGAAAAGAGGGUUAAAUAGCACGUGAAAUUGUUGAAAGGGAAGCGUUUGCGACCAGACUUUUUCCAGGCGGAUCAUCCGGUGUUCUCACCGGUGCACUUCGCCUGGUUUAGGCCAGCAUCGGUU
rnacentral:rRNA from 1 species